UAUGUGAAUGUUUACACUCGAAAUUCACCAGGAACUACAAUUGGAGUAAGGACGAGGAUCGAAAUCAUUGAAGAAGCUGGAGAACGACUUUAUUCUACCAUUUAAAGGAGCUCGCCAACAACUUCAUUCUUCCAUUGAAGUUAACCAUGGAUUCUCCGAGAGAAGAAAUUGAGCAAUUGACAGAGUAUGGUGAGGGUAUUGAGCAAAACGACAGUGAAAGUGACAGUGAAUAUGUGGGGGAUGAGUAUGUUAAUGUUACUGAUGACUUUGAAUUUGAUACUCAUGUGGAUCCCAGUGUUGAAUAUGUGGGGGUAUAUGAUAAAAAAAAAAGGAAGCAAAUACAUUGACAGAAGCAGUAAGAAAUGGGCAUAAUCUUAAUGAUUGUCCAAACUUGUCUGAUGAUGCGUUAAUAAAUGAGUCAGAUAGUGAUGUUUCAAUCUCUAAGUGGACUAACUUUAAGGAAACACAGACAAGGAAAAUCCUAAAUUUACUCUAGGCAUGACUUUUGCUAGUAAAAAAGAAUUCAAAGAAGCAGUGCUAAAUUAUGCUUUUAAAAAUGGAAAAGAGUUCGAAGUUUGUGAGGAAUGAUAAAAAAAUGUAUAUUGUAGAGUGUAAACACAAUGAGUGUCCAUGGAGAAUCAACCUUAGAAAAGAUCCUAUGUGUGAAUCAUGGAGAAUAUUAGACAUGAGGGAUAUACAUGAUGGAUGUGCAUGGGUUUAUAAGAACAAGAUGGUAAAAUCAAGCAUUCUUGCUAGGAGAUGGACCAAAGAAGUUCGACAUCAUUUGGAUUGGAAAAUGCUGAAUUUCAAGGAUAAAGUUUGUACCACUGAAAGAUUUGAUAUGAGUGAUAGGCAAGCUUGGAGAGCUAUGACAUAAGCAAAGAAACAGAUUCAGGGUGAUGAAGAAGAAAAUUUCAAGAAGCUAUGGGGUUAUGUGGCAGAAAUCAACAGAACAAAUUCCAUGUCUACUUGUUGUGUUAAAUUGAAUGAUGUAACAUAUAUGAGUGGACAUAGCAGGUUUUUAAGGUUAUAUAUGUGUUGGGAAGCUUGUAAAAAAGGUUUCAAAUUCUGUAGGCCAAUAAUAGGUGUUGAUGGUUGUCACCUUGCAGACCUUGCAGACCAAAGAAAUUGAGAUAACCAAUGAUGGAGAACAUGUGGCUAGAACUUGGAUAAAAUUGCAUUGUAGCAAGUGUAGACAAUCUGGGCACAACUCUAGAAGAUGUCCUUUAAACACACAGAGCAAGGGAAAACAGAUGAAGCCAAGAAAAAAAAGGUUGGGGAUCCAGUGCAUGUACAGGUGGAAUUGGCACCUAAUGAAGAUGGAGUCCAUCCUACUACUUCACAAGAAGUGUACAACAUACUUAUUGAAGCAGGAUAUGAUCCAACCACUGUGUUUUCCUUGGAAGAUCUAGAGUGGAGGUAACAUACUUAGCUGUGAAUUUUGUUGUUAUUGAAUCCUUUUUGUAAGCAGUGAAAAUAAUUAUUUUGCUGUAAUUUUGGUGUCAGAAUACUUAUUGAAGUAGGACCAUAUCUGUUGUUAAUUUUGUUGUCAAAAUAUUUAUUAAA